GCUCUACGACAGGCGGUUCUUAUAGGAGGACUUAACUAGAGACAAAUCUAACGUUAUUUC
rnacentral:misc_RNA from 1 species